rnacentral:rRNA from 1 species
AUUGAACGCUGGCGGCAGGCCUAACACAUGCAAGUCGAGCGAGCGGCGGACGGGUGAGUAAUGUCUGGGAAACUGCCUGAUGGAGGGGGAUAACUACUGGAAACGGUAGCUAAUACCGCAUACCAUCAGAUGUGCCCAGAUGGGAUAAGCUAGUAGGUGGGGUAACGGCUCACAUGGGCGACGAGCCCUAGCUGGUCUGAGAGGAUGACCAGACACACUGGAACUGAGACACGGUGCAGACUGCUACGGGAGGCAGCAGUGGGGAAUAUUGCACAAUGGGCGCAAGCCUGAUGCAGCCAUGCCGCGUGAGUGAAGAAGGCCUUCGGGGUGUAAAGCUCUGUCAGCGGGGAGGCGUUACCCGCAGAAGAAGCACCGGCUAACUCCGUGCCAGCCGCCGCGGUAAUAC